UAAGGUAAAAGAUUGUUUUUUAAAAUGAUUAAAGUUAUUUAAUAGGUAUUUUUAUUAAAAAAAGGUUUUUACUAUAGUUUAUAGUACUGUAAGGGAAAAUUGAAAAGUUUUUUUCUUUUGAAAAGUAUAUAAAGUACCUUUUGUAUUAGGGUCUAACAAGAAAUUAAAAGUAUUUUUAAUUCCCGAAGUUUAAAGAGCUAUUUUUAAAUAAAAAAAAUGUGUUUCAAUAUAUUUUUAAAUUUAAAAAUAGUAAUGAAAUGUUAUUCGUUUUGGAGGAUAUCUGGUUAAAAUAAUAUAACUAUAUGUUAUACUAUGAGGUUUAAAAUAUUUUAAUAUUUUAUAGUUUUGAUUUAUGGGAUAAGCUAUAAAUUUUUUUAUAUAAUAAAAUAUUUUUAAAAAAAGGUUUGGAAUUGACUAUUUUUUGUAAUAAAAAAUUAUUAUUAAUAUUAAUUUUUUAAAAAGUAAAAUUAUUUUAUUUAAUUGUAAAUAAAAGAAAUGAUGUUAGGAUUAGUAUAAAUUUUUAAUAUUUUUUAAAAAUGUUUUUUUUUAAAAAAAUUAAUAUAGAUUUUAUAAACUCGGCAAUAAAAUUUCUGAUUGUUUAUCAAAAACAUUGUAUCUUGUUUAAUUUUAAGAUAUUUUACCUGCUCACUGCGAUUAGUAAAUUGCUGUGGUAUUUUGACUAUACGAAGGUAUUGAAAUAAGGCUUUAAAUAAGUGCUAAAAGAAUGGUGGAACAGGGAUUUUCUUUUUUGAAUUUAUUAUUAGAAGUUAAUAUUUAAGUGAAAAGGCUUGGAUGUUUUUUUGGGACAAGAAGACCCUAUGAAUUUUUAAAAAAAAAUAAAUAUAUUUAUUUUUUUAAAAAUUAAAUUUUAUUUUUUUUUUUAAUUGGGGUGAUUUUUAAAGAAAAAGUAUCUUUAGAAAAAAAUUAAUAGACUCAUUUUUUAUGUUUUUUUGUUAAAAAUACUCUAGGGUUAACAGCGUAAUAAUUUUGGAUAGUUCAUAUAGAUAAAAUUGAUUGCGACCUCGAUGUUGGAUUAGGAUUCUUUUAUAGUGUAGAUGCUAUAAGAAGAAGUUUGCUCAACUUUUAAUUUCCUACAUGAUCUGAGUUCAGACCGACGUGAGUCAGGUUGGUUUCUAUCUAAAUAAGUUUGUUUUUAUUUUAGUACGAAAGGAAUAAAUAAAUAAGUUUUACUUUUUUUUUUUCUUUUUUAAAAUUA
rnacentral:rRNA from 1 species